rnacentral:lncRNA from 1 species
ACGCCCUCUGAUGGUGCCAAAGAAGAAACAGACCUUCAUUUAAGUUACCUUUUCGUUUAAAUAAGUAAACCAGUAGAGUAAAAUAGUGUUUAUACUUACCAUGAGAGCAGCGCUUUGCCAAGGCCAGCUUUUGGUCAAGGGAAGCCAAGGUAGCAGAUUGAGCCACAUUUUUAGCCAUUAUGAAUUAAAUAUGAUGAUAAUCAAAUGAAACAAGUUGAAGAGGAGAUUAAGAAAGUGUUAAGUAUGAUUGUGAAUGUUUUGAUGAAGAGAUUGUAAUUAGUGAAUGGGUAUUUAUAAGGGGAAAAUGUGGAUAAAAUGUGUUAUAGAGUGGGUGAGAUACAAAAGGAACUGUGCCUCGGGUGUUGAGGGGAGUGUUUGAUGGUUUCCUCCAAUUCCAGCGUCAGAGACGCUUGUUUUUUCACUUGGAUUUCUGAUAUUGUCGGUUCGGCCCCUUGCUCAUGCACUGUCCAACUAUAAUAUGUAAAAGGAAUUAAAAUAGUACAAUUCUUUUAAAUUUUAUUAAUGCUGAAAAGAAAUAUUAUUUUAAUUCACACCUUAAAUAUUAUUACACUAUUAUUAAGUAAAAUUUUGGUUUGAAAGGUUAAAUUCAAUAAAUUUAAAAUUAUGAUAUUUUAUGUUCAAAUUUUAAAUAUAUAUGAGUACUUUAUUCAGCUUAUAUAAAAGAUGGAAUAUAUUUAAAAUAAUAUAAUUUAUUGGGUUUGAUUUCCAUCUAUUAAUUUUGUCUAUUUUUAUCUAAUGAAAUAUCUAAUAAAAAUUUAAUUAUUAUGGAAAAUAUAAUUUUUUGUUGUUGUACCUUUUAAAAUGUCGUUACAUCUUAUUUCUAUACUUACAUAAAUUCUACGCACUUAAAUGUGAUGAGUAAUAUAGUGAUUUUGGAUAGAGAUCCCAACAAAAAAAGCAUGGACGGUGGAGUAGAUAGAGAUCACGUGCAGCCGACAGCUUGUAAUGAGAUGAUUUUAAAAUGAAAUGGGGAAAUGAAACUUGUUAUUCCAAGAAGAUAGCCCAGCAAGGAAGAUGUUGGGCUUGUUUUACUUUCUGUGUAGAAGAAUCCAAAGCUGGAAUUAGAAGUGUUGUGGAUGGGUUUGGUUCUACAUAAUUUUUUAAGUGUAUAUUGAUUUUCAAAAAGGUUUGUUUUUUUAUUAAAAUUGUAAUAAAAAUAUUUAUUAAUAUUUCAUGUAUUUUUAAGAUUUAAAUUGAAUUUAGGUUAAAUUAAGAAAAAUUAAAGUGUGAAAGUACCUACCUGUUUCAAUUCAACCCAAGUAGGAACAGGUUGGUUUAAAAUGUUUAGGGUUUUGAUUAAAUAUGAUUUUAAAGUGGAGUUAAAAGAAUGUAAUAUAUUCUCAAUUAAUGUUUAAAAAUUCAAAUUAAUUUUUAAACUCACUUGUAAAUCAAUAAUAUCAAAUAAUAGCCUUGCCGUAGCUCUACCUAAAACCGGUAUUGACAAGAUUUGUGAUAUUUUAGUACAUACAACUUGAUUACGCUUUAUCGGGUACUGUGUUGGGUGGAUUUUCUUAUAUUUCAUUAUCUGAUGUGAAUUAUUAUCUAAUAUUUUGCUCUAGCUUGUAAUAUAGAAAACAGAAUAACCUGAAACAUGACUCGUUUUGUUUUUAUGUUAUUUUAAAGCAUCACAUGGAUAAAAUGGCAUGAUAUUUUAAUGACCCGAAAUCCAAGAUGAAAUUGGGGAGCAUAUGAUUUGGACAAAGCAAUUAAAGUUUGUUAGGCCAAUAUAAGCUUAAAACCUUGUGCUAUUUAAGCAAACCAGCCAACUUUUAUUAAAUGUGUUUGCCGGACACCGAAACCGCUUCCACCAUUUCAAGGAUGGUCUGCCUUCAUGCAAAGGGACUAUUGGUGAAAACUGGAUGGAUGGAAGUGAAUUUUCUUAGUGCAUACUUGUAAAUAAAAACCAUCUUUUAUUUAUAUAUAUACAGAUAGGAUGGAUAUUACAUAGCAGCUGGGGCUAAUAGCUUCUACGGAUACAAAUACAACUCUCCCCACCCAGUCUUUUAUAGCCAACUGAAUGGUAAUAGUCAUGGCGUAGAUGCCGAGUUUAAAUCAAAGCCAACUCAAAUUCAUGCUUCCUUGUUAGGAGCCUGCUUGAAGGAGUUCUUCCGUGCCGUAGCCAAAACGGUCUUGUCUGCAACUAUAAAAUAAGCAGCUCCGGCCGCUGCAUUGAAAUAGAAACUUCAUUAACAAAAGGAUUUUAUUAUUACUAAAAAACAAGAUCUUGAGAUGAUGGUAAAAGGAUGAUUGAUGAAAACCUGUGGAGAUGAUGAGAGCUUGUGCAGUGUGAUUAAGAUUGGCUCUUGCCCAAGGCAACAUCCUUACACUAGCUAGCUGCAUAUUCAUGACAAGGCAAGGGAUAGAAAUGUUACCAAUUAAUCAUCACUAAGAAAAGAAAAAAAUGAUCUAAUAUGGGAUAUUGUCUUUCGCAUACUUACAGUUGGAAUUGCGGUGGCAAUAGUAGCAACAACGGCGGCCUUAGCUCCAGCAACCACACCCUCUGAUGAUGCAAAAGAAGAAACAGUGUUUAUACUUUAGCAUUAAUAUAUUUCAUUUAAAUCAAAUUAAACCUAAAGCUAUUAUUAUCACUAACCCUUUAAAAAAUUUGAAGAAAGCUGAAAGGAAAAGAGAAACUUACCAUGAGAACAGCGUUUAGCCAUGGCCAGCUUUUGGUCAAGGGAAGCCAAGGUAGCAGAUUGAGCAACAUUUUUAGCCAUUAUGAAUGAAAUAUGAUGAUAAUCAGAGGAAACAAAAUGGAAAUGAUAAUGAAACUAGUUUUGGAGGAAAUUAAGGAAGUGUAUAUAUGUGAUUGUGAAGGGUUUGAUGAAGAGAACGUGAGAAGUGGAUGGGUAUUUAUAAGGGGGAAACAGUGGAUAAAAU